AUGAAAAAUUAAAUCAAUAUAAUUUCUAAAUUGAAUCUUCAUUGACCACAACAUUCUCCCCUAGUUAGAGAAAACACAUCCUCAAGUUAUAUAGUUCGGCAGAAUCAGGAACUAAACUUGAAGAGCACAUAGCCUUAUCCUCUUGCAUGGUAGCAGUAAGAUUGAAACAAUGAGUUUCAUUCUUUUCUUCACUUCGCUGAAAUAUCCGAAAGUAAGGCUCUUCAAUUCAUUAGAAACAAAAGAAUUAGCCAAAUCUUCAA
rnacentral:misc_RNA from 1 species